UACGUAGGGUGCGAGCGUUGUCCGGAAUUACUGGGCGUAAAGAGCUCGUAGGUGGUUUGUCGCGUUGUUCAUGAAAACUCACAACUCAAUUGUGGGCGUGCGGGCGAUACGGGCAGACUGGAGUACUGCAGGGGAGACUGGAAUUCCUGGUGUAGCGGUGGAAUGCGCAGAUAGUCAGGAGGAACACCGGUGGCGAAGGCGGGUCUCUGGGCAGUGAACUGACGCUGAGACGCGAAAGCGUGGGGAGCGAACAGG
rnacentral:rRNA from 1 species